rnacentral:piRNA from 1 species
UGAUAUAGAGCAACAAAGCCUGAGGAUG